rnacentral:tRNA from 1 species
GCCGACUUAGCUCAGCCUGGCAGAGCACGUGACUUGUAAUCUCGGGGUCGUCAGUUCGAAUCUGACAGUCGGCU